rnacentral:piRNA from 1 species
UAGGGAAUAGCUUCAACACUA